rnacentral:lncRNA from 1 species
GUGUGAUAAGUGGAUUUUAUAUCCACUUGGAAUGCCUUCGUUUCGACUUAAAUUGAUGGUUUGGCCUCAAGUAUGUGGUGUUUUUGAUGUGUUCUUGUGGUGUUGUGUAGGUUUCCUAGAAGGAGGAUGAAGGGUGGAUUCAAGGCUAAAAGGUGGAAGAAACGGCGUAGGGAUCGAGCGAGCAAGGAAGGAGAAAAGGGAAAGGAGGUUCCAAAAGCAUUCGGGGCUGCCCAAAUGGGGUCUCCACCCC